GCAACGAGCGAUCGAUCACUUCGGCGGCGGCGGCGGCGGCACGAGGCCAUGGCGUGCGAGGAAGGGAGCGACGCCACGGCCCUCAACCUCUCCCGUCGCGCCCUCUCCGACGUCAGUAAACUUCAACGACCUGGAGCGCCUCGACCUCCGCUAAACUGGAAAAUUUGUUAGUGGUUUAGUAAUUGAUCACACGAAGAAGAGAAAGACACCAAAAGGCUGCGCUGUCACCAUCACCGACUCCGCAGCUCUUGAUAUGUUAUCAUCUGUGCCAGAGGUGGGGGCAGGCGUACUCGGACUGUCAGGAUGGGAUGACUACUGGCAAGUAAAGUUUGAUGACUGAUGAACACUAUUUAAUGUAAUUCUUUUGUAGCAUCACCUUUGCAAGAAGAAUUAUGUAGCGACCACUAUCCGGUUUCUUUCAACACUGUUUUGGGUCGUCCGCACUUCAGACAUGUAACAUUUGACUUGCAAAUGUUGUGGUUUUGGAAUUCUGUUAGAUGAAGCGAUGGUGAAAACCUCACUUUUAUGUGAA